GGAAAAGCCGCAGCCCUCUGGGUCUAAGAAGAACCGCAUAGAAAUACCACCCAACCUGAGGCGUUUCCAGAUCCCUUUUCCUUUUGKUUGCGAUGAUAAAUCUUGCUUGUUUCUUUUCUGUUGGAGAACAAAUAGAGGAAGGUCUCCCAAGAGCUGAAGCCUUCCUGUGGUCUUCAAAGCAAAUCAUUUUCCCCAUAGAGGGAGCAAGAGCCUUUCCCGGGGUCAGUGGCUGCAGUCCCGGCUGGCCUUUCUCACUCCUCGUCGCAAUUAUCAUCUAAAUACGUGUCCUCUAGGCUCCAAGGUGGCCAGGUAAGACGGAGGUAAGUGUCUGCCCCGUCCUGGAUCAAUAUCCUUGUGCCGUGGAGGCUGGCCAAAGCCCAGGAGGAAUAUGCCCACAUGGGAAAAGUGACCCGUCUCACAGAAUACGAUAUGAAAGCAACUCACUGGAGAAAGGUCSUGCUGAGGUGACCGAGGGGAACGAGAUUUCACACCAGUUCGGGUGCCCCGCACAUGUAGUUGGCUGAGCCCUGGCUUUCUGCCCGCUCCAGCAGUGCACUGCGUCUGGCCAGUGCAGGCCUGGAGGUCCGAGUGUCCCCUCCUUCGUCUUCCUCAUGCAGGACACAGUGGCUGUGGUCUGCUGCUGACCAAAACAGCAGGCCCGUGACUUGGCUGCUGCUCACAGAAUUGCUGUGAUUUUAGUGACAYACAAAGACCUGGCCAAAUGGGCUCCAAGGCUGGCACGGAGGAAGGAUUCGGGAUUCAUUUCGUUCACACAAGGUCUGGUCCUGCAGCUUAACUUCCACCCGGCGUCCAGCAGUGCUCUGGGCAUGGGCAGACACUUCCAGCCGGAGAAAAGGAGGAAAACAAGGAAACAUCUUAGUAUCCCAACCUCCUUCAGGUGCCGUGCACCUUCUUGGCAUCUGGGCCUUGGGUUUAGCGAGAUGUAAUUAAGCGGUGUCCCUCUCCGUCCGCGUCUAGGACAGACUGCAGCAAGACUCAAAUAGUAUCCGAAUGUGCCCAGCUAGGGCUGGCAUUUUUCCUCAAACUCCUCUAGACCGGUGUGGGAAGGCGACCCAGGCUGAGUGCUUCCCCGGGACAGUCUGAGGAUGUUAUUCUCCGCGGAGAAGGUGGAGAACUGGACCCUCUGAGCAGGAGAUGUUGUAAUUGUUUCAGUACUUGGAGACCCUCCAAAAGACGUAGUUCAGUGUCAGGUGAUAAUAAUCUAUAAACACUUUUAUGGGCCUUAUAUCUAUCUAUAUAGAUUGAUAUAAGUAGACU
rnacentral:lncRNA from 1 species